UUUCUUCGGAUUGAAGUUUUUGUGACUGAGUGGCGGACGGGUGAGUAACGCGUGGGUAACCUGCCUCAUACAGGGGGAUAACAGUUAGAAAUGACUGCUAAUACCGCAUAAGCGCACAGUGCUGCAUGGCACAGUGUGAAAAACUCCGGUGGUGUGAGAUGGAUCCGCGUCUGAUUAGCCAGUUGGCGGGGUAACGGCCCACCUAGUCUUCGAUGGAUAGGGGUUCUGAGAGGAAGGUCCCCACAUUGGAACUGAGACACGGUCCAAACUCC
rnacentral:rRNA from 1 species